AGACGUAGGGGGCGAGCGUUGUCCGGAAUUACUGGGUGUAAAGAGCUCGUAGGCGGGAUUGUAAGUCUGAGGCUAAAUACCAUGGCUUAACUGUGGUGUGAUCUUGGAUACUGCAAUUCUUGAGGACAGGAGAGGAAAGUGGAAUUCCUGGUGUAGCGGUGAAAUGCGUAGAUAUCAGGAGGAACACCAGUGGCGAAGGCGGCUUUCUGGCCUGUUCCUGACGCUGAGGAGCGAAAGCUGGGGGAGCGAACGGGAUUAGAUACCCCGGUAGUCCCAGCCGUAAACGAUGGACACUAGGUGUAGGUGGUGUUCAGCCAUCUGUGCCGCAGGAAACCCAUUAAGUGUCCCACCUGGGGAGUACGGCCGCAAGGUUGAA
rnacentral:rRNA from 1 species